GAUGAACGCUAGCUACAGGCUUAACACAUGCAAGUCGAGGGGCAGCACAGUGUAGCAAUACAUGGGUGGCGACCGGCGCACGGGUGCGUAACGCGUAUCCAACCUUCCCGUUACUCUUGGAUAGCCUUCCGAAAGGGAGAUUAAUACAAGAUGGUAUUCAAAUUCCGCAUGUUAUUUGAAUUAAAGAUUUAUCGGUAACGGAUGGGGAUGCGUGACAUUAGAUAGUAGGCGGGGUAACGGCCCACCUAGUCUACGAUGUCUAGGGGUUCUGAGAGGAAGGUCCCCCACACUGGAACUGAGACACGGUCCAGACUCCUACGGGAGGCAGCAGUGGGGAAUAUUGCGCAAUGGGGGAAACCCUGACGCAGCAACGCCGCGUGGAGGAAGAAGGUUUUCGGAUCGUAAACUCCUGUCCUCAGGGAAGAGCAGAAGACGGUACCUGAGGAGGAAGCCCCCGGCUAACUACGUG
rnacentral:rRNA from 1 species